UUAAGAGCCAGAAAAGGAUGCCUUGGGUGAGAAAGCCGAUGAAAGACCUAGUUGAUUGGGAAAAGCUACGACAAGAUGUCAACAAUCGUUAUAGUCGUAGAUAUCUGAAUGGGGAAACCUAUCCUUCGGGAUGCUCGCUUAGUCGAGACGGCAAGCUUGGGAAGUGAAAUAUCUCAGUACCAAGAAGAAAAGAAAUCGUAAGAGAUUCCGUUAGUAGUGACGAGCGAACGCGGAGGAGUCUAAACCAGUUAUUGUGUCAAGGUUCUAGCCGUUGCAUAAUUGGGGUUGUAGGAGUAUUAUUGAUAAGCUAGUAAUUAUCUGCAAAGUCAAAAAAUAUGUCGAGAGGGGAAGGCUCUGGAAAGUGCCACCAUAGGGAGUGAAAGUCUCGUACUCGUAUUGUCAUAUCUUUGUUUAUACCACCUGAGUAACGUCAGACACGAGAAAUCUGGCGUGAAGCUAGGCAGACCACUGUCUAAGACUAAAUACUUUCUCACACCGAUAGCGCAUAGUACCGUGAGGGAACGGUGAAAAGAACCGCGGGUAGCGGAGUGAAAUAGAUCCUGAAAUUUCUGGCUCACAAGGGAGUGGGAGCCUUUAUUGGUGACCGCGUACCUAUUGAGGAAUGGGUCAGCGAGUAAUUGACAGUAGCAAGGUUAAGGCAAUUGUAGCCGGAGCCGUAGCGAAAGCAAGUCUGAAUAGGGCGUUUAGUUGCUGUUAAUUGACCCGAAGCGUUAUGAGCUAGUCAUGGCCAGGUUGAUCUGUCGCGAAGGCGACAAGGAGGACCGAACCGGUUGGAACUGCAAAUCCUUCGGAUGAGCCGUGUCUAGGAGUGAAAAGCUCAUCGAAUAACGUGAUAGCUGGUUCUCUCCGAAACAAAUUUAGGUUUGACCUGCAAUUAAGAUCCGGUAGAGGUAGAGCUCUUAUAAGGCUAGGGGUGUCGAGAGACAUUACCAAACCUUGUUAAACUUCGAAUGCUACCGUAAAUAUUGUGGAGUUAGACGGUGACAGCAAAUUGCCAUCGUCGAAAGGGUAACAGCCCAGAUUUCUGACUAAGGUCCCUAAAUAAUAGCUAAGUGGGAAAAGAGGUGUCGCUGCUAAGACAUCUAGGAGGUUUGCUCAGAAGCAGCAAUCCUUUAAAGAGUGCGUAACAGCUCACUAGACAAGCGGCGAUGCGCUGAAGAUGUAACGGGGCUAAGCUAUUUACCGAAGUCGAAAGUCUAUUGAUUUAUCAAUAUGGCGGUAGGAGAGUGUUGUAUACGGGUUGAAGCUGAAGUGUAAGCGACAGUGGACUGUAUACAAGUAAUAAUGCUGAUAUGAGUAACGUAUGUAGAUGAAAAUUCUACACGUCGAAUACCUAAGGUUUCCUACGCAACGUUCAUCGACGUAGGGUUAGUCAGGACCUAAGCACAUCCUGAAAAGGUGUCGCGAUGGAUAACUAGUUAAUAUUCUAGUACUUAAAAUAUGGCGAUGGAGGAACGCAUUUGGAUUCAUUGGAGCCUCUUAAGGAUUGGGGUUGUAUAUCGAGGCUUGAUAGUAGGAAAAUCCGCUAUCUUUCGGCCGAGUAAAACACGUAGUCUGAGCAAUCAGACGUAAGUUCAGUUGUUUGGGUGCCAAGAAAAUCUUCUAGCUUAACAUAUUUUAACCUGUACCGAGAACAGACACAUGUAGGUUGGUAGAGAAUACCUAGACGGUCGAAACAACUAAUAACUAAGGAACUUGGCAAAAAAGCGGACGUAACUUCGGGAUAAGUCCUUCCCACAGCAAUGUGGGACGCAGCGAAUGUCGCGGGGGCGACUGUUUAUCACAAACACAGCUUCAUGCUAACACGUAAGUGGAUGUAUAUGAAGUGAUGCCUGUCCGAUGCCAGAAUGUUAAGCUCUCUUGUUCACGCUCGGGAGUCAAGCACUGGUGAAUGACGGCCGUAACUAUGACGGUCCUAAGGUAGCGAAAUUCCUUGUCGGGUAAGUUCCGACCCGCACGAACGGCAUAACGAUCCGGAUACUGUCUCAAGUUUAGGCCCGGUGAAAUUGCAAUAUCGGUAAAAAUGCCGAUUACUCGCAGCAAGACGGAAAGACCCUAUGAAGCUUUACUCUAACUUGGCACUGAUGUAUUCAGUUUGAUGCGCAGGAUAGGUGGGAGACUAUGAAAGAGACCCUCUGGGGUUUCCCGAGUCAUCCUUGAGAUACCACCCUUCACUCUGUGUACAUCUAACCCCAUAUUGGGGGACAGUGCUUGGCGGGGAGUUUAACUGGGGCGGUUGCCUCCUAAAAGAUAACGGAGGCGCACAAAGGUAUGCUAGUCCCGGAUGGAAAUCGGGAUGGUCGUGUAUUCGCAUAAGCAUGCUUAACUGAGAGACCAACAAGUCGAUCAGAUACGAAAGUAGGUGAAAGUGAUCCGGCACCAACAUGUGGGAGUGGUGUCGCUCAACGGAUAAAAGUUACUCUAGGGAUAACAGGCUGAUUCCGUCCAAGAGUUCACAUCGACGACGGAGUUUGGCACCUCGAUGUCGGCUCGUCGCAUCCUGGGGCUGGAGAAGGUCCCAAGGGUUGGGCUGUUCGCCCAUUAAAGCGGCACGCGAGCUGGGUUCAGA
rnacentral:rRNA from 1 species